rnacentral:rRNA from 1 species
AGAGCGAACGCUGGCGGCAGGCCUAAUACAUGCAAGUCGAGCGCACCUUCGGGUGAGCGGCGGACGGGUGAGUAACGCGUGGGAACGUGCCCUUUGGUACGGAACAACUGAGGGAAACUUCAGCUAAUACCGUAUGUGCCCUUCGGGGGAAAGAUUUAUCGCCAUUGGAGCGGCCCGCGUUGGAUUAGCUAGUUGGUAGGGUAAAAGCCUACCAAGGCUACGAUCCAUAGCUGGUCUGAGAGGAUGAUCAGCCACACUGGGACUGAGACACGGCCCAGACUCCUACGGGAGGCAGCAGUAGGGAAUCUUGCGCAAUGGGCGAAAGCCUGACGCAGCCAUGCCGCGUGAAUGAUGAAGGUCUUAGGAUUGUAAAAUUCUUUCACCGGGAAGAUAAUGACGGUACCGGAGAAGAAGCCCGGCUAACUUCGUGCCAGCAGCCGC